GCGGGCGUGGCGGAACUGGUAGACGCUACAGAUUCAAAUCCUGUUGUCCUCGCGACGUGUGGGUUCGAGACCCACCGCCCGUA
rnacentral:tRNA from 1 species